AAAUGCUUGACCGUUUUUGUAAGUUACUUAGUACAAUAUUAUCAGUUUGUUUUUUGCAUUAUUUCCCAGUUCUCUUGCAGUAAUAUUCAACAAGCUAUCUUCCUGCCUACUAGAUAAAAGAGGGGUUUUGUUUACUUAACAUGGUUGCCUGAUUAACAUAGUCAUGGUUUCUGUUAGUAUUUUUUCCACUACCAAAGCAACAACUUAUCUUCCUACCUACCAGAUAUACUAUUCCUUGAUUGCUUAGCUCCCGGCUUAAGAAGCUCCACCAUUCUUUUAUAUGAUAUUAGAAAAAAAUUGAGUUCUAACUUUGUUGAAAGACACGCACAAUUCUGAUGUUCUGGGGCCAAUGUUCAUUUCUAGAGGCAAAUACUCUCGGAUUUCUUAGUGAACUAUAAUCCCAUCUAGAUAACCCCCCUCGAUAUAGCUCCCUUUAUUUGCACGACACAAUCUAGCAUAUGACGGCUCUGAUUUGGAUUGUGCGUGUUUCUCCAAAAACUAGGAUUAUAUGCCUGAGAACAAACAAAUAGCAUUGUAAACUUACCUCAAAGCCUAUGGGUUGACUGAAGCUUGAUAAAUAGUUUCAGAUGCACUAUGGUCUCAUAACAGUAGAAAUAAAUUUCAAGGGAAAGAGAACCAUAAGUAUAGGUGAGUGCAUAGUAGAAGACGUGUAAUCGUGUUGCACUAUACUGUCUUUAUAGAAGCCGACAAAAUCAGAGACAUCCUAAAUUUGGUUUUCUGUUCUUGUCUGUUAAGAAAAGAAACAUUAACUCUUGGAUUAUCAGUAAGGGAAUAUGCCUUAUUAGCAUACUCUUAUGGUGGUUAUUAUUGCUCAACGUUGUGAGGAAAAAGAAGAAUAUUCAGAUUUUUCUAUUUGUGGUUAUAUCUUUUGGAUAAACAAUAGAAGGGUAAACUGCGAAGAAGAAACAUAAUGACCACCAGUAGUUAUAUCUUUAUUUUGAAUUAAUGAUAGCAAUAUUUUAGAAUAUUCAGAUUUUUUCAAUAUUUAUGGUGAUUAUAUCUUUUGCACAUUAACUCUGAAACUGAACUAUUUGUGUCGGGCUAGAGAAGCGUAAUUUCAAUACAAACUGCAAUUGCUUGGGCAAGAGAAAUCAACUCAAUACUACAAUUUUCCAUAUGAUGUAGUAAGAGGGGGCGUACCAUUGUAAACCGAUGUAGGGUGAAGGCUAGCCGCAUCUUUGGCGUGUGGUCAAACCCGGCAAGCUGCAACUAUGUGGAGCAUCCACAUUACUGCCACCACAUGCUUGCUAAAACAGUUAAUAUGUUCGUCCCCGUACAUCGGCCACAUCUUCGGCGAGCAUGCUUGAUGCCAAAAUCAGGCAACUAUUGUUGUAUUGAGUAUCCAGAGAUGAUAACCGUCAUGAAAAUCACUGCAUGGAUCGAUGAUAUCCCACACGGUCUUGUUUGCAUCAAAAGCGUGGCCCACUUUGGAUAAGAAUACACCAACCAUUUUGGUAAUGGGCAUCUCAACAGUUCUAUUUGGGCCUCAUUCCCCUAAUACGCUAGUAAUUGUCUCCUUUCCUGUAUUUCUCUUAGUCUCAUUCCCAAACACUUCAUGAUCUGAGAGAGGGAAUGCCAACAGCCAUGGCGGCAGUGUCCCCACCGUCCGUUCAUGCAACUUGAGAGGCUCUAGCGAUGACGCCUGAGAGGCAUCGCCGCCACUAAGUUUGCCACCAUCCUAGCCGCGACGACAAUGCGACAGAGCAUAUAGUGGAGGGCAGAGAAAGACAGUCGAGGGAGAUGGCUCAUCAGAAGAAUCCACAAAACGCGGAUGACCAGUGUAGUAGAGAAGAGGAUGAGGGAGAAUUACUGGGGAAGCCCAAGGGGACAAGCCAAGUGAGGUAGCCUCAGGUAAUGAACAAGGCGGGGAAGCCGCAGGUGAUGACGAACUUGAUAAAGAAGCCAUUAGAGGUAGAAGAAACUUCAAUCCCUAGGAAGUAGCAAAGAGGACCAAGAUUAGACAUAAGAAAUCCACUAUGACGAGCCUUCACAAAGGCAAAUGUACUUAGAGCCAUUGCCAGUGUUAUCGACAUAUAGAAGAAGAGUUCGACCACGAGUUGAAAGGUGGACAAGUGUAGGAUCAUGAGCACUCGCCGAAAACUAGCCGUAGUCACCAUCGAGACGAAACGUUCAAACCAGGCAUGAGAGGUUUGGUUAAGGCCAUAAAAAAGUGACGAAGACGACAAACCAUGUCAUCAAGAAGAGAAUACCCAGGUGGUGGCUACAUGUAGACCUCAUGCAACUCAACAUUAAGCCGAGAGACAGACCAGUGGUGAACAUAAGCCACAAUGAGAAGUGUGCGAAGGCCACGGGAGCAAAUGCUCAUUGUAGUCUUGGCCAUGUUCCCGAGGAAAGCCUCGCGCCACUAGAUGAGCUUUGUAACACUCAGGAGAACCAUCAGUGUAUUAACAUUAUAGACACACUUACAAGCGAUUGGACGAGCACGGGGAGGAAGAGAAAUGACAUCCCACGUGUCGAUGCGCACAAGAGCAACAAUCUCCUCUACAAUCGCAUGCCGCCAUUCGGGAUGAACAAAUGCGUCAUGAUAAGAAGUCGUCUCGAGAAAAGCGGCGCCAGAAUAACCAUAGUGGUCAAUAGGCGGAAGCGAGAGCUCGAAAGCCAUAAGUAGGCUGAGCUGGAGGCGGUGCAUUGCCAACAGGAGAGGACAUUGUAGUAGAGGGAAUGGCUCGUCAGAAGGAUCCAUAACACGCGGACCACAAGUGUAGUGAAGAUGAUGAAGGGGAAUCAUCGGGGAAGCCUCAUGGACGAGCUAGGUGAGGUAGCCUCAAGUAAUGAACGAGGUGGGGAAGCCACAUGUGACGACGUGUGGGGUCUAUAACAGUAGUACGGGAGGACACGCUGGGAUAGGUGGGCGAGGGCAAUAAAUGAGUGAUAAGUGUAUCGGGAAAAUUGAGGGAAGUAUCCUCAAUUGGGGGGGGGGGGCGAAGCAGAGGAUGGACGUGCAUAAAAAGGAUGAGACUCAAUGAGAAGUCACAUCUCGAGAAAUGCGCAUCCGAUUACUGACAAGAUCCCAACACUGAUAGCCCUUGUGCUCAUCACUGUAACCUAAGAAGACAUUCAACAGAUUGAUUAGACAGUUUGGUGCGUGAAGAAAGUAGCAAACACAACCAAACAAAGUGUUUAGUACUCCAUCCGUCCGAGAAUACUUGUCAGAGAAAUGGAUGCAUCUAGACAUAUUUUAGUUCUAGAUACAUCAUUUUUUAUCCAUUUGUGCGACAAGCAAUUCCGGAUGAAGGGAGCUGUCAGGGGAAUACCCACAAAGACGCUCAGAAUGUCACCAUGUAGAGCAAACAAGGGAUGAUUAUUGAUGAGAUAGGUGGCUACGAUCAUCAACUCACUAGCCGCCUCAUGAAGCUGGCGAUGCUUGCCUUAGCAACACCAUUCUGACCACGAGCACAAGACGAGAACUGAGCAAGUGUGCUUUUCUCAACAAGGAAUUCGUGCAGCAAUUGAGGGAUAUACACGAAAGGCAUGGAUAUGAGUGGAAAACUUAGUAUGAACCAAGGCGGCAAACUUCUUACAGAUAGACCUCACUACAAGAAGGCAUAAAAUAUAUCGACUUGUGUCGAGAGAAAUCAUUAUAAAGAUAAUAUAGUGGCGAUGGCCUCCUUUCAAGGCAAAGGCAGCUGGAUCCCAAAAAUCAGAGUGAACAAGAUCGAAAGGACGUGUUUACCCAACUAACAAUCUUGACUGUCUAAAGACACAUUACCAAAGACAGAUCCAAGGAGACCACGUCGAACUAAGGAUGAGAGUCAAGAACCACACAUGCGACUGCAACGAUCAUGCCAGAACAAGUGGGUAGACGAGGUAAGUGAGUCGAAGAGACUGGCGGCGGUGGUAGCGGAGGGAAGGCGAAGCCUGGCACACUCCAGAGGGCGUGUGAGUCAUAGCGCUGAGGGCCAACACCAAGUAGAGAACCCGUGUGCCGAUCCUAAAUCGGAACAAGAGUCGAAGUCGAGAAUGACCCUACAACCAAAUUAAAAAUCUAACCUCCUGAAAUGAGCUACCUGUUAAGUAUCAUUAGCAGUAAGAACAUGUACAUGAGAAUUUAGAGGGCCAUUGCGGUGUCGACUGCCUGUGCGGCUAUGGCGACGCGCUACAGGUAACACGAGAUGUGGGAUUGAGGCGUCACACAUAGCAGCCCAAAGUCAGGCGAAGGAUGCCCAGCUAGACUGGUAGGGAGCAGAGAGUACACGUGAGGUGUGGCGGAAGGUAAGAAAACAUUGUUGGGAGCGGACUGUCGUUGCCGUCGUUUGUUGUACUUGGAGACAAGCGUCGAGGGGAUGGCGAUUAGGGAAGGCGAGAAGAUGGUACUGGGAGGAGAAAGGCAUCAUUUGCCACCGUACAUACAUAUGUGCGCCAGUCAUGACGGUGGAUGGUUGUGGGCAAAUCUGGUAUCUGCAUGUGGGUUUGUUACUAGGCUUUGUUGGAUCAUAGUUAUGAUUUGUGCUAGAUUCCUUCCUUUGAAGAUUGAAGCUGGAGAACUUUAGGGUGUAGUAUGAUCAACCUGAGAUAUAUCGGAUUUAUAUAGGUAUAGUAUGAUUGGCAUGAGUGUGGUAUUGGUGGACUAUUGGAUCAUCUUGGAUAUUACUACUUGGAUUCUAGGUUGGAGGUAACUUGGGCACUAGGAUUUGUGAUAUUUUGACCUAAGCUUAUGGAUAUGGGCAUGUAGAUGAUAAAUGGAUCGGAGUUGGUAGACUUUGAUGAUUUUGCUAGCCCUCCUCAUAUGUAUUGGACUUAAAUAACUAUGAUACUAGGCUUGGUUGGAUCAUAGUUAUGAUUUGUGCUGGAUUCCUUCAUUUGAAGAUUGAAGCUAGAGAACUUUAGGGUGUAGAGUUAUCAACGUGAGAUAUAUUGGAUUUAUAUAGGUAUAGUAUGAUUGAAAUGAGUGUGAUAUUGGUGGACUAUUGGACCAUCUUGGAUAUUGCUACUUGGAUUGUAGGUUUAAGAUAAGUUGGACACUUGGAUUUGUGAUAUUUUGACCUAAGCUUAGUAGCUUGUAUGUGCCCCAUAUGAAUAUGAGCCAUGGAGAUGAUACAAAUGGAUCGGAGUUGGUAGACUUCGAUGAUUUUGCUAAUUCUCCCCAAAAAUGUUAUGUACAAGAUCAUGGCCGUGGAGGGAAAACUAGGCAUGACUCAACCCAAUGUAUAAGAAGAAAUAUGAUUUUGACCAUGCGAAUGGAAAUACAUGUACAUGCAGUGCCAACGGAAAAAAUGUUAAUUUAGGGGAUUCUGGUACGAAGCCACCUUGCAAGAGGUUAUUGAGUGCAGGCAACCUUGUGUUGGUGAAGGACCCUUCCUUGGCGCCGAGGGAAAUGAAGUGACAGGGGUCUUAUGACUGUGAGGGCAAAAUUGGGAUGAGUAACUCAGCUCAGGGUUCCUCUUUGCAAGUUCAAGUGAAAAGGCAGAGGAUGGCAGGGCGUGCCGCUCUUGAUAGCGUUUGCAUCGCUUCUUCAUACCUCUCAUGCACUCUUCGUUUCCCGCCGAUUCGACUUGGCGUCCUUACCUUGUUUGAGGGUUAUGUGUCACGGACUUGGUUUCGCAUCGCACGUUCCCUUGCUGGAAGUCCCUAGCCUUGGUGACAGGUAGCGACGUGCACUUGGGCGCUUGGCGUCCUUGGGUAAGUUCGGGGGCGGUGCCCAAGCUUGCAGCUAUGGCGACAACUUGCUUGGGAGCAGAUGAUGUAGGAACAAGGCAGCACACGAGUAACUCGCAGCCAGGGAAAUGAUACCUAGCCGUACAUGCAGGCAGUGGAGAGUACACGGGAGGUGUGGGUAGGGGUGAAAAUGUUGUCGGGAGCAUACUGCUGCUGCCAUUUGUUAGCCUUUAGAUCUAGAGCCGAGUGGCGAAGGUAUGACGACAGGGGAAGCGGGGAAGAUUACUUCCUUUGAAGAUUGAAGCUGGAGAACUUUCGGGUGUAGUAUGAUCAACCUGAGAUAUAUCGGAUUUAGAUAUGUAUAGUAUGGUCGGCAUGAGUGCGGUAUUGGUGGACUAUUAGAUCAUCCUGGACAUUACUACUUGGAUUCUAGGUUGAAGGUAACUUGGGCACUUGGAUUUGUGAUAUUUUGACCUAAGCUUAGUAGCUUGUAUAUGUCCCAUUGGAUCAUCUUGGAUAUUACUACUUGGAUUCUAGGUUGGAGGUAACUUGGGCACUUGGAUUUGUGAUAUUUGACCUAAGCUUAGUAGCUUGUAUGUGCCCCAUAUAUGCAUAUGAGCAUGGAGAUGAUACAAAUGGAUCGGAGUUGGUAGACUUUGAUGAUUUUGCUAGCCCUCCCCAUAUGUAUUGGACUUAGAUAACUAUGAUACUAGGCUUGGUUGGAUUAUAAUUAUGAUUUUUGCUAGAUUCCUUUGAGGAUUGAAGCUAGAGAACUUUAGGGUGUAGUAUGAUCAACUUGAGAUAUAUCAGAUUUAUAUAGGUAUAUAUGAUUGGCAUUAGCGUGGUAUUGGUGGACUAUUGGAUCAUCUUGGAUAUCACUACUUGGGCAUUUGGAUUUGUGAUAUUUUUACCUAAGAUUAGUAGCUUGUAUGUGCCCCAUAUGGAUAUGAGCAUGGAGAUGAUACAAAUGGAUAGAAGUUGGUAGACUUUGAUGAUUUUGCUAGCCCUCAUGUGUAUUGGACUUAGAUAACUAUGAUACUAGGCUUGGAUGGAUCAUAGUUAUGGUUUUGUGCUAGAUUCCUUUGAAGAUUGAAGCACUACUUGGAUUCUAGGUUGGAGGUAACUUGGGCACUUGGAUUUGUGAUAUUUUUACCUAAACUUAGUAGCUUGUAUGUGCCCCAUAUGGAUAUGAGCAUGGAGAUGAUACAAAUGGAUCGGAGUUGGUAGACUUUGAUGAUUUUGCUAGCCCUCCUCAUAUGUAUUGGACUUAGAUAACUAUGAUACUAGGCUUGGUUGGAUCAUAGUUAUGAUUUGUGCUGGAAUCCUUCAUUUGAAGAUUGAAGCUGGAGAACUUUAGGGUGUAGAGUUAUCAACGUGAGAUAUAUCGGAUUUAUAUAGGUAUAGUAUGAUUGAAAUGAGUGUGGUAUUGGUGGACUAUUGGAUCAUCUUGGAUAUUGCUACUUGGAUUCUAGGUUUAAGAUAAGUUGGGCACUUGGAUUUGUGAUAUUUUGACCUAAGCUUAGUAGCUUGUAUGUGCCCCAUAUGAAUAUGAGCCAUGGAGAUGAUACAAAUGGAUUGGAGUUGGUAGACUUCGAUGAUUUAGCUAACCCUCCCCAAAAAUGUUAUGAACAAGAUCGUCAUGGUCGUGGAGGGAAAACUAGGCAUGACUCAACCCAAUGUAUAAGAAGAAAUAUGAUUUUGACCAUGCGAAUGGAAAUACGUGUACAUGCAGUGCCAAUGGAAAAAAUGUUAAUUUAGGGGAUUCUAGUACGAAGCCACCUUGCAAGAGGUUAUGGAGUGCAGGCAACCCUGCAUUGGUGAAGGACCCUUGGCGCCGGGGGAAAUGAAGUGACAGGGGUCUUAAGACUGUGAGGGCAAAAUUUGGACGAGUGACUCAGCUCAAGGUUUCCUCUUUGCAAGUUCAAGUGAAAAGGCAGAGGAUGGCAAGGCGUGCCGCUCUUGAUAGCGUUUGCAUCGCUUCUUCAUACCUCUCGUGCACUCUUCGUUUCCUGCCGAUUCGACUUGGUGUCCUUACCUUGUUUGAGGGUUAUGUGUCACGGACUUGGUUCCGCAUCACACGUUCCCUUGCUGGGAGUCCCUAGCCUUGGCGACAGGUAGCGACGUGCACUUGGGCGCUUGGCGUCCUUGGGUAAGUUCGGGGGCGGUGCCCAAGCUUGCAGCUAUGGCGACAACUUGCAUGGGAGCAGAUGAUGUAGGAACAAGGCAGCACACGAGUAACUCGCAACCAGGGAAAUGAUACCUAGCCGUACAUGCAGGCAGUGGAGAGUACACGGGAGGUGUGGGUAGGGGUGAAACCGCUGCCGGGAGCGUAUUGCUGCUGCCAUUAGUUAGCCUUUAGAUCCAGAGCCGAGUGGCGAGGGUAUGACGAUAGGAAGCAGGGAAGAUCCUUCCUUGGAGAUUGAAGCUGGAGAACUCUCGGGUGUAGAUAUGUAUAGUAUGGUCGGCAUGAGGGCGGUAUUGGUGGACUAUUAGAUCAUCUUGGACAUUACUACUUGGAUUCUAGGUUGGAGGUAACUUGGGCACUUGGAUUUGUAAUAUUUUGACCUAAGCUUAGUAGCUUGUAUAUGCCCCAUCGGAUCAUCUUGGAUAUUACUACUUGGAUUCUAGGUUGGAGGUAACUUGGGCACUUGGAUUUGUGAUAUUUUGACCUAAGCUUAGUAGCUUGUAUGUGCCCCAUAUAUGGAUAUGAGCAUGGAGAUGAUACAAAUGGAUCGGUGUUGGUAGACUUUGAUGAUUUUGCUAGCCCUCAUGUGUAUUGGACUUAGAUAACUAUGAUACUAGGCUUGGUUGGAUCAUAGUUAUGAUUUGGUGCUAGAUUCCUUUGAAGAUUGAAGCUGGAGAACUUUAGGGUGUAGUAUGAUCAACCUGAGAUAUAUCCGAUUUUUAUAUGUAUAGUAUGAUUGGCAUGGGUGCAGUAUUGGUGGACUUUUGGAUCAUCUUGGAUAUUACUACUUGAAUUCUAGGUUGGAGAUAACUUGGGCACUUGGAUUUGUGAUAUUUUGACCUAAGCUUGGUAGCUUGUAUAUGCUCGAUAUGGAUAUGAGUAUGGAGAUGAUACAAAUGGAUCGGAGUUGGUACACUUUGAUGAUUUUGCUAACCCUCCCCAAGAAUGUUAUGAGUACAAGAUCAUCAUGGGAGGAUGAUUUGGAUUAAUUAGAAUAGAUGGCAAUUUCAGUGGUAUGUGCCUUUUUGGGGCAACUGAUCUUGCUUUUAUUAUGUGUUGGAUGCAAUAGUAGUUGGAGAGUAUGACUUAUGAAGUGAUAUUAUAUUCUUGGAUAAAUAGAUCUUUAAUAAACCUUGGGUGAUUGUGAUCUUGAAAAAAAUCUCGUGGAUGAUAAUUUUUCUAAUUUUUUUAUCUAUAGUCAUCAAGUGCAAGCUUGCUUUAUAUUGGACUUCCAAACCGUGAUACUAAGCUUGGUUGGGUCAUGAUUAUGAUUUGUUCUAGAUUCCCACCUUUGAAGAUUGAACCUGGAGAACUUUUGGGUGUAGUAUGAUCAACGUGAGAUAUAUUGAAUUUAUAUAGGUGUAGUACAAUUAGCAUGAUUGUGGAAUUGGUAGACCAUUGGAUCAUCUUGGAUUGAAUUACUUGCAAGGAAACAAAGAUCUUUGAGUAAUAGAAAUGGUGUUUGGUUAGAUGAUAUAACUACUUGGAUUCUAGGUUGGAGAUAAAUUGGGCACUUGGAUUUGUGAUUUUUUUUACCUAAGAUUAGUAGCUUGUAUGUGCCCCAUGUGGAUUCGAGCAUCGAGAUGAUACAAAGGGGCAGACUUUGAUAGUUUUGAUGGCCCUCCGUGAGAAUGUUAUGAGUACAUGAUCAUCAUGGAAGGAUGGUUUGGAUUAAUUAUAAUAGAUGGCAAUUUUGUUGGUAUGUUCCUUGUUGGAGCAGCUGAUCUCGAGAAAUGCGCAUCCGACGACUCACCAGAUCCGAACACCGACAACCCUUGUGCUCAUCACUAUAACCUAAAAAGACACACUCAACAUAUUGAUCAGACAAUUUGGUGCGUGAAGAACGUAGCAGAAGCAACCAAACAAACAAAGUGUUUAGUAGUUACGAGAAUGCCACAAAGACGCACGAGAGGAAUAGAACCGUGUAGAGCAGAGGAAGUAUGAAUGUUGAUGAGAUAGGUGGCUACGAUCAUCAACGCACUAUCCGCCUCAUGAAGGUGCCGAUGCUUGCGCUCAGAGCGGCACCAUUCUGAGCCUGAGCACGAGGGUAAGAGAACUGAGCAAGUGUGAUAGCUUGCAUGUGCCCCAUAUGGAUAUGAGCAUGGAGAUGAUACAAAUGGAUCGGAGAUGGUAGACUUUGAUGAUUUUGCUAACCCUCCUCAUAUGUACCGGACUUAGAUAACUACGAUACUAGGCUUGGUUGGAUCGUAGUUAUGAUUUGUGCUAGAUUCCUUCCUUUGAAGAUUGAAGCUGGAAAACUUUAGGGUGUAGUAUGAUCAACCUAAGAUAUAUCGGAUUUAUAUAGGUAUAGUAGGAUUAGCAUGACUACGGUAUCGGUGGACUAUUGGGAUCGUCUUGGAUAUUGCUACUUGGAUUCUAGGUUGGAGAUAACUUGGGCACUUGGAUUUGUGAUAUUUUGACCUAAGCUUAGUAGCUUGUAUGUGCCCCAUAUGGAUACGAGCAUGGAGUUGGUAGACUUUGAUGAUUUUGCUAACAACCCUCCCCCCCACCCCACCCCAAGAAUGUUACGAGUACAAGAUCAUCAUGGGAGGAUGAUUUGGAUUAAUUAGAAUAGAUGGCAAUUUCAAUGGUAUGUGCCUUUUUGGAGCAGCUUAUCUCGCGUUUAUUAUGUCUUUGUGCUAGUUUAGAUGCAAUAGUAGUAGGAGGGGGUAGCAUAGGAGGCACACCUCCCCCUUGCCACCGUCAAGGCCGAAACCUGGCGAGAGGGAGACAUGCAUGAGCGGGUCGGGGCAGAAAGCACAAGGCUGCACUUUAGCAUCUUCAUCGGCACCUCGUUGGGGUCGUCCACCCAUGCCCUGACAACAAAGUACGAGAGGUCGAGCCUGUCGAAGGAUUCAAUGGCCAUAUGGUAGAUUAGGCAUUCGGGCAACAGUUCUUGGGCGGUUUGAGGCGAGAACUCCCGCAGGGGAUGCGUUGGAUGGACAACCCAACGCUGUAGCAGCAUUGAACCGAUGUGGCGAAGGUUAUCUUGUUCGACCGCCACACUAGGAGCAGCGUGCCGCGGUAGUGUACUGCGUCCACCCCACGAACCAUGUCGAACCACCGGUAGUGCGUGAAGCUAGCGAAGAAAGAUCCUAGCUGCAUGAGAGAGACCUGAAAGCCGUUUGUUCGAAAGCUCCGGGAAGUCGUCCUUGAUGCCCUCAACAAUUUUUACCAGGAUUAGAGACGACCUCGUACCCGCCACCAUGAGCACCAGCGCCAAAUCCCAUAGGUAAGAACAUAUCCUCGAUGAGGCACCUCGUCUUGCGCGAGCGGGUGUUGCCCCUCGCUGGGUCGUACGCGAACCUAGCCGACAUGGAAGGCUCCAGCGACGAAGGGGCGGGUGGCUCCUUGUCGGGAAAGGUGAACCUGGAAUGAGUCGGCGAUUCGGGUGGUCGAGGGGUUGGGGGGACCAGCCUGGAUUGGACUGACUAGCGGAGGCGGCGGGGGUGGCAGCUGCACUCACGGCCUUGGCGGUGGUCAAGGCGGGGCUAAGAGUAGUGAUGGACUCAUUAGCGGCGGCCAGGUCAUCAUGGCGGCGCGUGAAAAGUUCCUUCUGAAGCACAUCCUCUAGCCCAAGUGGUACAUUUGUUCAUUUGUGAUAUGUUCUGUUAGUGUUAUGUUCUCGUUGUCUCUUGCUCUGUUUCUCUUGCCCACAGGUACAUUUGUUCAUUUUCGUAGACCUGCUAUGUUCUAUUGUAAUUCGAGUUCAAAUGUCAAGUUGCGCCGCCACAAAAUGCUGCUACUUUAACUUCUGUAAGCGCAGCGAGCAGCAUAGGCAGCCGCUGCAGCUGCUCACAUGGAACGUAUGCCCUGUUGCAGCCUCGCAGGUACCCACACCUCUCCCUCCUCUUGAUUUGAUCCCCGUAAAUUCUCAGCUUUAUUUCUGUGGAUUUUUGUUUUAUCUAUGCCUGUUAUGUCUUUGACAAAAUCCAAGCAGAUUGAGGGGAAGAUCUUGUGCUUAGUUUUUUUACUCAAGUAUUUCAUCUUUCUCUCAAAUUUAGCUCCAAUGAAUUGAUUUUUUUUGGCAUCACUUUUUUCCCUGGAGAUCAUUAUCAUCUCAUCUCACCACACUCAUGCCACAUAACCUGGCGAGCUCACUCCUUACUCAUUCUAUGUACCACAUUUGUAGAUCAGUUUAAGGUACUGUUAAUGAACCAAAGUUUAUGUUGUUGGCCUUGCCAAAAUGCCAUGCAGCUUAACAUUCGACACUUCCUUCAAAGGGGUCCUUCAGCCUCCAAGGAGAAGGGAAGUGAUGUCUGACAGGGAAAGAAACUAGGCGAAGCUCUGGAUGCUCGAUCGAACAUUUGAUGUGUGGUAGUACGUGUGUGAUGAAUCAUGGUGUAGUAGCAAACUACCAACUGAAUUUUUUGACAUACAAUGGAUUUCUUUCUGCCUCUAUUUGAUGCUCGGUGGUGCUGAUCUGAAGGUCCGUGCGGACCCUGCUCUGGACAUAUGUCUCCUUAAUUUCCGUGUGCAAUUGUGCAAUCCAUGCUUUACACUUUAAAAUGAGACAAUAAAAUUUAGCUCAUGUUGCCCUUCCAUCAUGCACCCAGAAUAUAUUACCUUUCUGCUUUUUAUAUUUUGGUUGGGCAUGUUUCAUGAUCAGAGGAUUGAUGAUUUGUUAUGCUAGACAAUGGAAAUAAGAUUUGGUGGAAAACAAAUGAUAUGAUAGGUGAUUUAUGAUGUACUACUAUUUUAGAUAAUAAUACUAAGCUUUUAUUUGGUUGUUCUGCAUUUUUUCCCUUUGCAAAGAUAGAUAUUAUAAGAGAUAAACAUCAUGUACAGGUUAACUUUUUAUGUGCCUAUUAGUAUGCCUUGCUGCCAGGUGGAAAUAGUCUAUAUGAUGCUCAUAAAUAGAGCUUCCUGGUGGGAAGGAUGAGGCACACUCAUUGAUACUUUGGUUUUAUGUCCAUUUGUUAUACAGUUUUUCUCUUCCAAGCAUAUAAACUUUAGCAAAUUAGAGUGUGCAAUCAAGUCUCCUAAGUGAACAGUUUUACCAUAUUAUCAAGUUUGAGGGCAUAUACGAUACGAGCAUAUAAGAUAAGAGCAUGUCAUGCUACAUGAAAAUCUGCCUGGAGAUCUAAUUUCGUAUUUUUUUCUAUUUUGUCGGUUAGAAAACCAGUUUCCUGAGUUGUUAGUCUGAGUAUUCAAAUUGAUCCGCAGAGUUCAGGGCUUCUGGAUGGAAGAGUUUCCUACAACGUCAAAAUCUUAGUACUCUCUACAUAGACUUCGUAAUUAUGCCCGACUUUUUCUGAAGAAUUGUUGAAGUAUCUUUUAUUUGGGUUGUUUGUGCAUUUGCAGUGUUGGAGGUGUUAGUGCAAGAUUGUAGAGUUGGAAAGUAUAGUACAACGUCAAGUCGGUGCAGGGACUUGGUGAAGUCAUCAGCCUCGACUGUGUCUACUUCCCCGAUGGUUUUGACUUCUGACUAGUGAUUCUGAUGCAUAUUACUUGAUGAUUUGGUCUUUGUGGCAGCUUUCAGUUUGAACUGGCAUUCAGUGGCUUCAUCCUCUUUGGUGCAGCCUGGAGUUAGUAGUGUGCACAUCUGAAUCUCUUGACUUUUUCCUGAAGCAUAUUACGUGGUUUAUGGUGUCUGCUAACUUGCAUGCGGUUUUGAUGGAAUCUGAUCUCGUUUUUAGCUCCCAGUAUAUACAAAAGGCUAGAAGUAAAUGAUGGAAGAUCCUUUUGCUCAAACGAGGGUCCUACUUUCAUACCCAAAGUUUGUAUAGUAGAUAAUCAAAUUUUGGCCUUUAGCUUGCAAAUGUAUCACCUUAUAGAAGUAAAGGUUGCAUCUACAUGAGCUCUGAUUAUCUCCAUAUAUACUUGAAUUGCUUUGGGGUCACGCUUGGAUUUAUCAGACUACCAUUCUACAUACUGUUCUCGAUGAUUGCACUUGGUUUGUUAAUUUAUGUACCUUAUGUCAAAAAACAUUAUCCAAAAUUAGUUUUUGGUAUACGCAGACUUUGAAAUUUGUUGAUAAAGAAAGAUCACGCCUAAUUUGCUCGCUCUCUGUUGACACUUAACCUGGCCUCCUGACUUUGUAGUUGGAUAAUGUUGAUGACUCGAUAUGCGGAGAGAGGUUAGGAAUUGUUGCUAUGGAUUAAAACAAUGCAGAGUUGAAGGUUCUGAACUGGGAACUUGAACAAAUAGUUUGCCUACCUUUCUUGUGGAAUUGAUUUUUUAGAAGUGAAUGUUCUUCUGGUUGGUGCUUCUUCAGUGGGAUCUGGACCAUGGAAUCUUCAAUUGCAUCUGCUUGGUUCACUGGGAAUUUCCUAGUUUUAAUUUGAUUGACAACUAGCAAAACAGUCCGGCUAAUUUGAUGAUUAAUUCCUGCUGAUUGUACACUUUCAACUCAAGUUCCUGCUGAUUCUACACUUUCAACCCAAGUUACAUUGUACCAUAUGCCAGUUUGUUUCAUACCUCGUCCAUCCUGGAUUUUUAGACGCAAAGCAUCUGGAUUUUAAAACAAGAAAUAACAUGUCUUUAACAAAAUUAUUCACACAAAGAUCAUGCCCAAGAUUGAAUCUCUCAUCUUUAAAAUAAAUUUGGACAGCAGGGAUCUCUCAUCUUUACAGUAAAUUUGGACAGCAGGGAUCUCUCAUCUUUACAGUAAAUUUGGAUAGCAGGGAUGAUCAGUAGAAAAGCUAUGAUAGCAAGGAAGUGGUGUUUCUGAACUCGAGCACACAUGUGCUCUUUAUCUGGGCGGUUCGUCAUAGCAUUGGGAUGCGGUGCAUUUACUUUCUGCGUCAGGCUGUUGUUCACUGGAAAAGGGGGAAAUGCAGAAAUACGGCCGACGGGUAUCUUGUACGGUGGGCCAGGUUUGUGGCGGAGGAGCACCUCCUUUAACGAUUCAAAACAGGGUCGUGGCUCAUGCCGUCAUUCCCGUCCUGAUCCGUGGAUCAGGUUUAGGGCCUCAGUAGCCGAGUAAAUGGAGGGAUGGGUUGCUGGGCAGAGUUCUCUCCUACCUCCGGCUCCUGGUUUUUCCUAUUAUCGAGUGGGGCUAGAUGGGCGGCGGAGCUUCUAUUCGAAGGAAACAAAGGCUAGCGCAGAAGAUGGAAUUUUUGAUGCAAUUGAUUAAAAGAACCACCAUGCUGGAGGACGUUAACGAUGGCAAUGUACUCAUGGAGCCACUACACUGCCAGUGGUCGCAACCGUUGCAGAUCCGCUGCCGCCAUGGGCGGCAGCUAGUACGGAAGGCCAGAUCUGUGCGGCUGAUGGCGUGGUCGAUACUGAAAUCGAUGGUUUACUGCAAGCAUCUGAGCAGUCGAUUACUUGAUUUGUUAGAUCGACCCAAAAGCCCCAGCAUGGACUCGAAGUGGGGAUCGGUGCUGCCGCACCAGGAAGGUCACCUUGUCCUAAUCGCACUAGUGCACUGGAGAAGGCAAUUCAUGGUUUUGCGGAAAAUCCAGGAGAUGAUGUGAUUGUCCCUGCACUAGGAACAAGCUGAUUGUUUGAGUGAAGCCUUCGACUAUUGCCAUUGGACUUCGAUUCUUUUGGGUGAAGCAUAUGACUUUUACAAGCUUCGGUUCUUUGACAAAUCUAUAUUUUAGUAAUCCUCCUUAUUUUCUGAAACUGAUGUAUGGUGGUAUGAUGUACUCCCUCCGUCCCAAAA